GACAGAGGGUGCAAACGUUGUUCGGAAUUACUGGGCGUAAAGCGCGUGUAGGCGGUUUGGUAAGUCGGAUGUGAAAGCCCCGGGCUCAACCCGGGAAGUGCACUCGAUACUGCCAAGCUAGAGUAUCGGAGAGGUUGGUGGAAUUCUCGGUGUAGAGGUGAAAUUCGUAGAUAUCGAGAGGAACACCGGUGGCGAAGGCGGCCAACUGGACGAAUACUGACGCUGAGACUCGAAAGCGUGGGGAGCAAACAGG
rnacentral:rRNA from 1 species